rnacentral:lncRNA from 1 species
UGUUGACUGAAAUGUCUUUUUACAGCAUAUGACCACAUAGAUAAUGGAUAUAAGUGAUACUGGUGAAUAUGAAGACAACAGGAAGGAAUUAAUGCAGGAGAAGAAAUCUUAGAGAACAACAUCAUUGAAAGGAUAGACCAUUAAAAGGAUCUUUGUUGAAGGAGCAAUCAGAGAUGUCAGAGGAAAUUUUUUAAAAGGUGUUGUCAUAGACACCAAUGGAAGAGAAGAGAAUUUCAAGAGGAAGAGAGUUCUAAGUAGUGUUUGUGGAAAAUGUUUCCAGGGAGCCAAGUUGCACUUAUUUGAUUUGGUAACUAGAGGGUUAAUAAUGCCCUCAGGAAAGAGUGGUUUUAGUAGAGUGGUGGGGUGUUAAUGACAUUAGUAAGGGUAAAAGAGUGAAUAAGGGAUAAAGAAGAACAGAGAAUUAUAGAAUAAUCUUUCGAGAACCUUAGCUGUGAAGGGAAGGAAAAAGAUGAAAUUCAUUCUGCAUUUUCGUUAAUAGCAAAAAUAGCCUCUGAGUAAAAACCAUUUUUGCAAUCCUUGGUGACCAGAGUGAAUUUGCCAGAUCAACAAAUGUUCGUACACCCUUCUUUGAUUCUCAUAAAAUGGAGUGGGUAACUCCAGACAGCCUUCAUGGAGAUAAGACCACUAGAUUGUUACCAGGUUCCAGCAAGCCCACAGGACCGAGAAGAAACUGCCUUCACCUCAACAGCAAUUGUUGAGGAAACUGAAUUGGACUAUUUCUCCACUGCAAGGCAAGACGAUACCAUGAACUGGAUCACUGCACUAAUAGGUCGAUGAGAAAAUGACUUUUUCCUGGAGAAAUACAUCUCUUGUAAAAGCAUAUGCCAGCUGUUGCCAACGCGUUUUUUCUUCCACGGUUCUGGAGGUGACACCAGAAGAGGCAGGGUAUAUGCAAGUUUCUCUAGAACAUUCAUCUUCGACCCACUCCUGCAAGUGGGGCAGGAGUCCCACUUGCUCACUCUCAGGGUCCUGGACAAGAUUGCUUUGACCUUUCUUGCUUCAUGAUUUUGCUUCUUU